rnacentral:rRNA from 1 species
AUGGAAGCAAUUGUCAACGCAAGAAGAGAAGCCAACGAGGUGAGGAAAAUGGUAAGGAACCAAGAUGCCGCGGUCGAGGAGAGAAGGGUGUCGGCCGAGGAGAGGAAGGUGGCUUUGGAGGAGAGGAAGGUGAGCAAUGAGGAGCGAACUAGAUUGUUGGAAUGGGAGAAGCACUUGUUCUUCUUGGACACAUCCAACCUCAAUGAAGCGCAAAAGGAAUAUGUCAAUCUUGCCCGUGAAGAAGUGUUGAUCCAAAAAAGAGCCAUGGUCCGCAUGAGUGGCGGUGGCCUUGGCGGCAUGAGUGGCGAUGGCCUCGACGGCAUGGGUGGCGGUGGCCUCGGCGGCAUGGGUGGCGGUGGCUUCGGCGGCAUGGGUGGCGGUGGCCUUGGCGCCAUGGGUGGCGGUGGCCUUGGCGCCAUGGGAGGCAUGGGUGGCUUCGGAGCCAUGGGAGGCAUGGGUGCACCUCCGGCCGCCAUGGGAGGCAUGGGUGGCUUUGGAGCACCCUCCGACGCUAUGGCCGCCAUGGGAGGCAUGAGUUUUGCUUCUCUCAUGGGAGGCAUGGGUGCGCCUCCGGCCGCCAUGGGUGGAAUGUCUUUCGAUGUGCCUUCUCACACACAUUCCCAUGAAGAUGUCGUUGAAGAUCUUGCCAACACCGUCGGAGCUUCACGUGAUGCGGUGCGUGAUGAGGAGAGGGAGGAAGAUUCAUCUUCGGAGGCGGAAGAAUCGUCUUCGGAAGAUGAUGACGAAGACGAGGAAGAUGAUUGA